GCCGAACGCUGGCGGCGUGCUUAACACAUGCAAGUCGAACGGAAAGGCCCUGCUACUGUGGGGUGCUCGAGUGGCGAACGGGUGAGUAACACGUGAGUAACCUGCCCUUGACUUUGGGAUAACUUCAGGAAACUCGGGCUAAUACCGGAUAGGAGCCCCUGCUGCAUGGUGGGGGUUGGAAAGUUUCGGCGGUUGGGGAUGGACUCGCGGCUUGUCAGCUUGUCGGUGGGGUAGUGGCUUACCAAGGCUUUGACGGGUAGCCGGCCUGAGCGGGUGACCGGCCACAUUGGGACUGAGAUACGGCACAGACUCCUACUGGAGGCAGCAGUGGGGAAUAUUGCACAAUGGGCGGAAGCCUGAUGCAGCAACGCCGCGUGCGGGAUGACGGCCUUCGGGUUGUAAACCGCUUUCGCCUGUGACGAAGCGUGAGUGACGGUAAUGGGUAAAGAAGCACCGGCUAACUACGUG
rnacentral:rRNA from 1 species